UACCAUCCCAUGAAAUUGGAACUUCAGCCUUUUAAUGGGAAGACGCUUCUGCUCUCCUUUCAUUGAUCAUUGGCUUAUUCUAAUAAGAGGUUGCUACCGAGAAAUGUCUUUCUCGUGAGCCUGGGAGCCAUUCCUAUAAAAGAGAGGAAGGAAGAGUGAUAGAGAGUUUGAAACAUCGAUGAGAGAGAAACAUCGAGCAGCUGCCUCCUG